rnacentral:rRNA from 1 species
UACGUAGGGUGCGAGCGUUGUCCGGAAUUAUUGGGCGUAAAGAGCUUGUAGGCGGUCUGUCGCGUCUGCUGUGAAAAUCCGGGGCUCAACCCCGGACUUGCAGUGGGUACGGGCAGACUAGAGUGUGGUAGGGGAGACUGGAAUUCCUGGUGUAGCGGUGAAAUGCGCAGAUAUCAGGAGGAACACCGAUGGCGAAGGCAUCCGUCGGCCUGGACGUACUGACGACUCGAG